GCCUAACACAUGCAAGUCGAGCGUGAACCAUUGGAAUGAAUCUUCGGGCGAGUGAAGAUGGCUAAAGCGGCGGACGGGUGAGUAACGCGUACGCAACCCGCCCCGUAGGGGGGGAUCGCCUCGGGAAACCGGGAUUAAGACCCCAUAAUACCUUUUGUUCACAUGGAUGAAAAGGUCAAAGAUUUUAUCGGUAUGGGAUGGGCCUGCGUCUGAUUAGCUGGUUGGUGGGGUAACGGCCUACCAAGGCAACGAUCAGUAGCCGACCUGAGAGGGUGAUCGGCCACAUUGGAACUGAGACACGGUCCAAACUCCUACGGGAGGCAGCAGUGGGGAAUAUUGCACAAUGGGCGCAAGCCUGAUGCAGCAACGCCGCGUGAGCGAGGAAGGCCUUUGGGUCGUAAAGCUCUGUCGGGAAGGAAGAUAAUGACGGUACUUCCCGAGGAAGCCCCGGCUAACUACGUGCCAGCAGCCGCGGUAAUACGUAGGGGGCGAGCGUUAUCCGGAAUUAUUGGGCGUAAAGAGUGCGUAGGUGGUUUCUUAAGCGUGGGGUGAAGGCCAUUGGCUCAACCAGUGUAAGCCCCGCGAACUGGGGAACUUGAGUGCAGGAGAGGAAAGCGGAAUUCCUAGUGUAGCGGUGAAAUGCGUAGAUAUUAGGAGGAACACCAGUGGCGAAGGCGGCUUUCUGGACUGUAACUGACACUGAGGCACGAAAGCGUGGGGAGCAAACAGGAUUAGAUACCCUGGUAGUCCACGCCGUAAACGACGAGAACGAGGUGUCGGGGUCGCCAGGGCUCGGGUGCCGCAGUUAACGCAUUAAUGGUCCCGCCUGGGGAGUACGUACGCAAGUAUGAAACUCAAAGGAAUGGACGGGGACCCGCACAAGCAGCGGAGCAUGUGGUUUAAUUCGAAGCAACGCGAAGAACCUUACCAGGGCUUGACAUCCCCCUGACCGGCGUGUAACGGCGCCUUCCCUUCGGGGCAGAGGAGACAGGUGGUGCAUGGUUGUCGUCAGCUCGUGCCGUGAGGUGCCGGCUUAAGUGCCAUAACGAGCGCAACCCUCAUCGUUAGUUGCCAUCAGGUCAAGCUGGGGACUCUAACGGGACUGCCAUCGUAAGAUGUGAGGAAGGUGGGGAUGACGUCAAAUCAGCACGGCCCUUACGUCCGGGGCGACACACGUGUUACAAUGGGUGGUACAAAGGGCAGCUACCGGGCGACCGGAUGCCAAUCUCUAAAACCACUCUCAGUUCGGAUCGGAGUCUGCAACUCGACUCCGUGAAGCUGGAUUCGCUAGUAAUCGCGCAUCAGCCACGGCGCGGUGAAUACGUUCCCGGGCCUUGCACACACGGCCCGUCAAG
rnacentral:rRNA from 1 species